rfam:Stentor coeruleus isolate WM001 SteCoe_contig_105, whole genome shotgun sequence.
GCACUGUUAGUCUAGGGGUAUGAUGGUAGCCUCCCAAGCUACCGGCCCGGGUUCGAGUCCCGGACAGUGCA